GACGAACGCUGGCGGCGUGCUUAACACAUGCAAGUCGAACGAAGUGGCGAACGGGUGAGUAACGCGUAAUCAACCUGCCCUUCAGAGGGGGACAACAGUUGGAAACGACAGCUACUACCACAUACUGAAGGAGGGGAUUGGGUUUGAUUGGUUAGUUGGAGGGGUAACGGCCCCACAAGGCGAUGAUCAGUAGCCGGUCUGAGGGGAUGAACGGCUACAUUGGUACUGAGAAACGGCCCAGACUCCUACGGGGGGACGCGGUGGGGAAUCUUCCGCAAUGGACGAAAGUCUGACGGUGCAACGCCGGGUGAGUGAUGACGGCCUUCGGGUGGUAAAGCGCUGUUAAUCGGGACGCGGUACCUGAAUAGAAAGCCACGGCUAACUACGUGCCAGCAGCCGCGGUAAUAC
rnacentral:rRNA from 1 species